rnacentral:lncRNA from 1 species
GUUGGGAAACUGCUGCCAAGUCCGUUGAAAAGAAAGGCAAGGAUGUGUCUCUAGAUCCAGCUGAAAAACUUCGUCAACAAAGGUCAAGACUAUGAACAAUCUUUUUAGUAUUUCGUAGCUGCACAUUUUCGAUUCUAAGAAUGAGAAGUACACCACCUGAAUUAGCUGAAAAUUGGGCCAUUUCUUUACAAUCUAGUUUUGUUGUUUCAUCUCCCAAUGAACAAGUAGUUGGUGGUGCAUAUCAUUUUCAUGUGUUUGCAUACUCAUUUGGUGAUGAUAAGACCCUUGAUAAUUUUAUUCCCAACAGUGAAGAGUGAUUUCUUGGAUAUGCUGAGCUAAUUUCUCAUAAAGCUGAGACUGUAUGAGGUUUGGCAAAUUUGUUUAUACGUGGUUUUUGUAGGUUGUCGGAGCCUUGAUUCUGAUUAGGAAAUUACGAUUUCCUUUUUACAGAAAAGUUACCAUUAAAUCGGACUGCUCAAGGCAGUUAUGAGACUGUCGAUUACUCGGUUGAAAAGACGAGAUGCUAAAGAUAUUGCUUCUUCUGUUACUGCAAUUGAUAAGGCUGAAAAGGAAGCCAAUGCAA